GACGUAGGGGGCCAGCGUUGUUCGGAAUUACUGGGUGUAAAGGGUUCGUAGGCGGUGUGGCAAGUCGGGAGUGAAAUCUCUGGGCUCAACCCAGAGACGGCUUCCAAAACUGCUGUGCUUGAGUGUGAGAGAGGCUCGUGGAAUUGCAGGUGUAGCGGUGAAAUGCGUAGAUAUCUGCAGGAACACCCGUGGCGAAAGCGGCGAGCUGGAUCACUACUGACGCUGAAGAACGAAAGCUAGGGGAGCAAACAGG
rnacentral:rRNA from 1 species